ACACAGCAGCAAACUCAAGCCAAUAUCUCCUGUCCAGCCAUGAGCCCGACUGGAGGGCCUUGUGCUCCCCUGUUGUGUUUUGGAUGUCCAACGGCAGAUCUCAUGUUUAUAUCGUCUCAGGCGGACGCUGCUCUUUGACCGAGCAGCCUGUCAGUGAGCAGUUUUGUCCAUAUGUGUACUCUGAGAGUGAGUGGAGUUUAGAGGAGGUGGAUCUCUGCAAUGGUGUCUCCGCACUGCAGCUGCUGGAAUCAGAAGGAAACGCAGAAUAUCCUGAAUGUCAGUCUGACCACUGUGA